rnacentral:sRNA from 1 species
UCCGACCGCCCGGCUGCGGGCUGCUGCCAAGCCGGUCUGGCGGGACGCGGGGGAGGUGUGCGGCGCGGCGCGGGGAGCGGCCAGGUCCUUUCAUGUAGAGGGCAUUUAUUGGGUCGCUGGUUGCAGCACUGCAGAAGGUUGCAAAGGAAGUGGAAGAUCGGCCUUUCCAAGAGUUGCAAGCAAGCUAGCAACACAGGCAUAUAUGUACAAGGAGCAGCUAGAAAAGAGCCUUCAGGUGUUGUGUAAGCAAAAAAGGCAGAGAAGGUUGUUGGUUCUUUUGUGUUUGAAUCAUUCCUUAGAGGGUCCUUGCGGUUAUGUUUGGUGGAGAUCAGGCAAGGAAACUUCAGGUCAGAUCAAGGCCAGAUCACCGAUCUGUAGCCCUACUCGUUGAAACAAUACAGCAGAUCCCUCGGUGACACUUGGCUAAAGUGUCAGCCUUUGCUGCUCACUGUUUUGACCUUGGGCAUACUUUGAACCUAGUGCAGCCACCUACCUCUUCAUGCUGCUGUGCGCUUCUAAUCCUCCAAAUGUUACAAUUUUCCAUGAGGUCAGGCAUGAUCGUGAAGUCAGGUCAGGCUUGAUUGUGUUUGUCAUAUAUCAUCAUGCCUAGCAGUGUAGUGUCGUGUGUGUGUGUGUGUGUGUGUGUGUGUGUGUGUGUGUGUGUUUGUGUGAAUGUUUAAUAAAGACUUCCAGAAAGGUGGCUAGGUGACUGGAGGAAGCUCAACCUGCUUUGGGCUGCCCCUGUCAUAGGUCUGCUCUUACUGUGGCUGGCUCACUGCAAGACUUAACAAUCUCCCCCUCCAUUCCCUCUCCCUCAGGCUACUCAAUGUUCCAGGGGACUCUACGGUAGCACUGUGGGUAGUAUUUGUGGCCUCGCACUCUACUUUGUGUGUGCACGUAUCUGUGUAAAAUAAGAGGAUAGACUAGGGUGCUGCUAGCCUUGUGCACCUGGGGUGCAGCCCGCAGGCUUAGGCACCUUAUUCCAGGAUUUCUCAACCUUGGCACUAUCAGUACUUUGAGCUGGAUAAUUGGUUUUGCCGUUCUACAUGUUGAAAUAUAUUUAGCAGCAUCCUUGACUUGUGUUCACUAGAUUCCAAUAGGACAAACCCUCCCCCUCACAAUAGUGGCAACCAGAUGUCUCUGAAGUACAAAAUCGCCCCUGUUGAGAAUCACUACCUCCAUCCCAAGAGCCAACCCAGUGAUUUAACCCUGGUUGGGGGGAAAAAAUCACACCCUUAAAGUGACUGGGAGGGGAUGCAUCUUCUGUCAGUCUAAGCUUCUCCAAUCUCAGUCAUAUGUUUCAGGGAGCCUGACUCCUCUUAAUUAACUGCCUGCUGCAUUGUGAAUUGGCAUCUUCUCUGUUUUCUGCACAACCUCCUCCUUUACGCCCAGAUCAACAUGUUCGUUUCUAAAAGUCAACAGAUUUCAAAAAAAAACUAUUAAGAAAUAGGGCCUUGAGCAACCUGAGAGUCCUGUACGGUAUUUUUCUAUAAAACGUGGGGGAAUUUAUUCCAUAAAAUCUCUCAGACAGCUUCUCUUUUAGAGUUAAGCUUUCAAUUCUACAAAUGAUAACCACAUCCUUAAAAAAAAAAAAGGUUGUAAAUAAUACACGCCAGAAAUGAUAAUUUUUUCUUCCAUUUAAAAUAUUUAGAUCUCUGAAUUGAGUCAUUUGUAUUUUGAAGCCAUUUCCUGUUGGUUCCAGAGUUUAUGUUUUAUGACAGGAUAAAAGAACAUGUUUUAUUUAAAUGUAUCAAGCAGACAUCAGUUUGGUUAGACUCACCAACUUUUCCAAAACAAAUUCUCUCAAACAGUGUUGGUGAGCUGUCCCAGGCCUGGUUUUGUUGGUAAAGUUCCUUGUGUUACGAUGCAGCUCAGCUUUUAAAGGGUUCUAGAAGAAAAAUAAAGGUUCGUGGUUGAAGGAAUGAACGGAUUCUGAGAAUCUAUUCAAUCAGUAGCAGGCCCAUAAAAUCCUGGUAGGCAACUAAAAAUGAAAAAAAAAAAUA